rnacentral:rRNA from 1 species
GACGUAGGGCGCGAGCGUUGUCCGGAUUUAUUGGGCGUAAAGAGCUCGUAGGCGGCUUGUCGCGUCGAAUGUGAAAACCCACAGCUCAACUGUGGGCUUGCAUUCGAUACGGGCAGGCUAGAGUUCGGUAGGGGAGACUGGAAUUCCUGGUGUAGCGGUGAAAUGCGCAGAUAUCAGGAGGAACACCGGUGACGAAGGCGGGUCUCUGGGCCGAUACUGACGC